CUGACAUACUGUGAUGCCGCCGAGUUACAGUCAGCGAGAGUGUUCUAUUUUUAAAAGAACUUCAGAGUUCCCACCAGCUCCUCCACAGAAAAGCAUUUUUACGUAAGAGCGAGCGGAAGAGAACUCGGAGAGAUGGGAGCGGAGGCCAGGCAUUUGUUUUCUCUCUAAGGCCUCUCCCAUCAGGCUUUCUUAAAUUAAUGUACAGCUCCGGCGUCUGAUGGGCCCUGGUCGGGCUGCUGGGUUCUCCUGUGGGGGCGGGGGGGGGGGGGGACAGGGGGAGAGGGGGGAGGAGGAGGAAAUGACUUCAGAGCAUUUCUGCAGCCCAAAGGAACAGCCCAGAUAAAGAACUACACGGGGCAUUUUCUAGAACUUCAGAUCAAAGCCUGGGAGCUAAAAGGGCCUCCCUGGGGGGCCUUGGAGCCCAGCUCCUUCAUUUUACAGAGGAGGACGUCCCCCAGGGAAUGUGUAGCAGAGCCAGAAUUGGAACCUAGGUCCUCUGGCUUCAGAACUGGCCCUCGCUGGCCUGCCAAGCCCAUUUCUUCUUCGCUGCCACCCUCUGAGACAGGUGUCUGCGAGGACUCAGGAGGUGCGGAUACCUGUUGCCUGGGCCAGAGCAGCUGUUUCCUGGCUUCCCUCAGCCUCGUGCCAAUUUAUUUGUGAUUUCUGUGGCUAGUGAUGGACAAGGAUGGAGUAAGGAUAACUGGAGAGUGCAAAGGGCAGAUCUAUGGUCACUGGAAACUCUGCCUAGGUCUCUGGUGGGAAUGAGAGCCCCAGUCCGGCCAGGUUCAAGUGCAGCCAAGUGUUGGGAGGGGGCUCCCACCCUCCCACCUUCCUGCAGCCAUGAACCCAGUGAGCUUCAGAAUUGCCUUAAGGGAAGGAGAUUUUGGCCAAGAGAGACACACGGUCUUGGGUCUGAAGGAUCCUUUUAAAGCCCCCCCAAGACAAUUAACGGUCAGGCCCAGGACCCAGAACCCCAGGAUCUGCCCAAGAAGGCUCCCCCAAUCUCUGGGAGAAGCCCCUGGUCCACAGCCAGGAAGGGGAGGGCUGGGAACCAAAGAGUCCUGGCCCAGAGAAACCCCGCCAAAGGAGAGCCCCCUUAUCUCCUGGCUCCCUGGGAUCCCAUGGCCCUGGCCACUUUGGGAGGGAGGAAUUCCAGUCAAUGCUCCCUGAGAAUUCACUUUAAUGUCUCCUUCCCCACCCCCACAGGGGGUCGCCUUUAUCUCAGAAGGCAAAUGCAGCCCUGUCCCAGGCCCUCCUGCCUUCUCCCCCUCUGCCCUGGAUCUGGCCUUUCUGAAGAAUCCUUGUAAGUGUUGGGACGUCAGCCUCUCCGAGGAGUUCCUGGAAUGUCUAUCCUGAGGCUCAUUCUCCUUGUUAACAAGGGGCCCAGAGGGCCAGAAGCUGGAGGCUGGGGGUGGAAGCUGUGCAGGAGGAUGGACACUUGCCAAAGUCAGCCAGGCUUGGGAAGAAACCAGCCCAAUCCCACUGAAGCCCUCUGUGGCCAGAACUUCCUCCCCAGCCAGGGGUCUGAUCCCUCCCAUCUGUGUGACCUCCAGGCCUCAGUUUCCUUGUCUGUAAAAUAAAGGGUCUAGACUCAGAAAUCCCUAAGGUCCCCGGGAGCCUCUGCUCCUAUGAGCUUUGCUCUUUCCCGGAGUCCUUGAUGGGGAAAGAAGAGGAAGAGGAAGGGCAAGCUGAUGUGGCUCCAGAGUUUCUCCAGGGGAGUUUGGGGACAAUAAUUAAUAAUAGCGUGUGCUUCAAGGUUUGCAGAGCUCUUUACAAAUAUGACUUCAUUAGAUCCUCAUGACAACCCUGGGAAGUAGGUGCCAUUAUCAUUCCCAGUUUAUCGAAUUAUUGAGGAAACUGAGGCAGGUAGCAGUGAAGUCAUUUGCCCAGGCUCCCAGCAGCAUCUAAGCCCAACCAGAGACAGGCUACCUUAUCCCCUAAUGCCAAGGGAAAUGGAAUUUGACCCAAGCCCUGAAGGAUCAACCCAGAAACAGAAUUGGGAAAUAUGGGGAAAUGGAAAUGCUAUAAUCAAUAAAGAAAUACUGGGGCCUGGGGGCAACCCAAGAGGUAAAA